CAGCUCUGUGUUUUAUUGUUUGAUUUCAGCACUUCUGGGGACCAGUUAUUAAUUGGGGUCUUCCCCUAGUCGCAGUCAGCGAUAUGAGGAAGAGCCCCGACAUCAUCAGCGGUCGAAUGACCUUCGCUCUUACCUGUUACUCAAUGAUAUUUAUGAGGUUCUCAUACCGAGUCCAGCCCCGAAACUGGCUCCUUUUUUCUUGCCACAUGGCCAAUGUGACGGCACAAGUGAUCCAGGGAGGCCGGCUCAUCCGACACAAAAUGCAGAACAAAAAUGCGAAAUGAGCCUUUGCAUGCAGUAGAUCAGAGCACAGACGGGUUCGUGCAGAUAAAGGCAAAUUGAGGAAGAUCUCUACCAGAUCCAUGCAUCAGAUCAGGAGAGCAGCUGCUAAAAUGCCAUUAUGUAGCAGCAAACAGAUAUUUGAAGCUGCUGGUGCCUCUGGAGUCCCAUGGACAUCAAGGUGUAGAGUCCUCCACUGCAACUGUGCAUAAACCUUCUAUUCUGCCGCCACUAACCAGUGCUCACAAGCAGAAACUGUCCAAAUACACAAGUUCAAUGGAUGCAAGACUUGUGAAGCUGCUAUCAAAUAAGGAGUCCUAUGUCAAAAUGUGACGUGACCUGUUUGAUUUCAGUACAUAUGUUGCAAACACAACAAAUGACAAUUUUCAGUUCUUUGCAACUUAUAAAGUGUUUUGCAGCUUACUGUGCAUAAUAAUUUGGAACAGUUCAUUGUAAGUGUUUUGUUUGACAAAAAAAUACUGUAAUCAUUAGAUUUGUUCAAUAAAAUUUGAAUUGCACUCAAUAGUUGACAACAUGAGAA